ACCUUAAAUCAACCGUAUAAACAAAAAAAGAAGCAAGAGACUUGAUAGUCCAAAUAUAUUAUUUUAUUUUAUCGAAUUUUGUUGUGCCUAAAUCUCAAAUUGGUGAAAAGGCAUUAGCCCCUAAAUAAAGUGUGACCUAAGGGUCGAAGAAAAAAAAUUCUAUUAUUUGUUUGUGUGUUCCUUAUAGACUCAGAAACGGAUGAACCGAAACGGAUGAAACGGAUUACCCUAAUUUUCAGAAACGCCAGAUCUCGGAGAUGGGUGGUGCGAUUUAAGAAAUUUUGUGUGCUCUCAUAUAGUACCCUAAAAAUAAAAAUUUGGUAUUCAAAUUUCGGAUUGGGUACCUAGGGGGGCUGCCCCACCCUAAAACCUACCAAA